CGGCCGCGGGGUUCCUUGGCCUUGGGUUGGUCGUUCCGGCCUGGUGGUCGUUGGGGUUUGGUUUGGGGUUUCAGGUCCCCCGCCGGCGGCGCGGCAACCCCCCUUUGGUCGCCUAGUUGCCGGCCGGUUGAGUUGGGCACCUUUCGCGAGACUGCCGGUGACAAACCCGGGGGAGGGUGGGGUUGUCGUCAGGUCCUCAUGCCCCUUAUGGGUAGGGCUUCACCCGUCGUCCGAUGGUCGGUCCCGCGGGUUGCCAAGCCGCGAGGUGGCGCUGGUCCCGCGUGGCCGCUCGUCGUCCGGGUCGCAGUCUGCGACUCGACUGCGUGAAGUCGGAAUCGCUGGUAAUCGCAGGUCAGCAUGCUGCGGUGGAUACGUUCCCGGGUCUUGUACACACCGCCCGUCACGCCAUGGGGGUGGGUUUCACCGGAAGUAGGUUGCUUAGCCUUUCGGGGAGGGCGCUUACCACGGUGAGAUUCAUGACUGGGGUGAAGUCGUGACAAGGUGGCCGUAAGUUGGC
rnacentral:rRNA from 1 species